rnacentral:rRNA from 1 species
GACGAACGCUGGCGGCGUGCCUAAUACAUGCAAGUCGAACGCACUCUCGUUAGAUUGAAGAAGCUUGCUUCUGAUUGAUAACAUUUGAGUGAGUGGCGGACGGGUGAGUAACACGUGGGUAACCUGCCCUAAAGUGGGGGAUAACAUUUGGAAACAGAUGCUAAUACCGCAUAAAACCUAGCACCGCAUGGUGCAAGGUUGAAAGAUGGUUUCGGCUAUCACUUUAGGAUGGACCCGCGGUGCAUUAGUUAGUUGGUGAGGUAAAGGCUCACCAAGACCGUGAUGCAUAGCCGACCUGAGAGGGUAAUCGGCCACACUGGGACUGAGACAGGCCCAGACUCCUACGGGAGGCAGCAGUAGGGAAUCUUCCACAAUAGGACGAAAGUCUGACGGAGCAACGCCGCGUGAGUGAAGAACGGUUUU